rnacentral:rRNA from 1 species
GAUGAACGCUGGCGGCGUGCCUAAUACAUGCAAGUCGAGCGAACAGAUGAGGAGCUUGCUCCUCUGACGUUAGCGGCGGACGGGUGAGUAACACGUGGAUAACCUACCUAUAAGACUGGGAUAACUUCGGGAAACCGGAGCUAAUACCGGAUAAUAUAUUGAACCGCAUGGUUCAAUAGUGAAAGACGGUUUUGCUGUCACUUAUAGAUGGAUCCGCGCCGCAUUAGCUAGUUGGUAAGGUAACGGCUUACCAAGGCAACGAUGCGUAGCCGACCUGAGAGGGUGAUCGGCCACACUGGAACUGAGACACGGUCCAGACUCCUACGGGAGGCAGCAGUAGGGAAUCUUCCGCAAUGGGCGAACGCCUGACGGAGCAACGCCGCGUGAGUGAUGAAGGUCUUCGGAUCGUAAAACUCUGUUAUUAGGGAAGAACAAAUGUGUAAGUAACUAUGCACGUCUUGACGGUACCUAAUCAGAAAGCCACGGCUAACUACGUG